rnacentral:rRNA from 1 species
GUCGGGUUAAGGAGAAGCGUUGGGUGCAGAGGAAACAGGCAAGUUAAAAUGAGGGGGCUAGCGGGUUGUACUACCUAUGGCAUAAGGGGGUUAAGAGAAAGAGGGUUUAGGCAGGGGCCCCAAAUUCUGAGAGAUUCCGUUACUGCUUUGGGAAAAAUUCUAUGGCUAGUAGGCGGAAGCAUUGAAAUGUUAGCGAUCAGAGUAUAAGUGGUGGAGGUUGCCAGGUAAGCUGGUGAUAUGCUUUGCGGAUAUCUUGGAUAAUGGGAAAUGAUUGUAAUAGUUUAGUGUCAUAAUAACCCAAGGGAGUAUAGGAUUCAGGAUGUCUAGAGCGGGGUUGGGUGGAUGAUUAGUUUAUCCAGCAAAAUUUAACUAUUAGUAAAAUGAGACUAGGAGUGACAAAUAGUGGGCUGCCAUGUGGACUUUAAGGUCAAGCAAAUGUUUAGUAAAAACAUUUCUCAUUUGUUGAUGAGUAUCUCCUGCCCAAUGAGGUUUUAAUGGCCGCAGUAAGCUGACUGUGCUAAGGUAGCAUGAUAAGUAGGUUAUUGAUUGUGAUCUGGUAUGAAUGGGGGAAUGGCUUGAGCUGGGUGCUUGACAGCAGCAGAGAAGUUGGAAGGGGGUGAAAAUACCUCUGUAGGCAAAAGACGGAAAGACCCCGGAAGCUUGACAAGAAGGAAUUGUUUUGUUGGGGCAACACUUGAAACAUCAGGUUUCAAGUAGAGAGUUACUCCGGGGUUAACAGGGUAAUCACUUUAGAGGAGUGGUUUACUACCUCGAUGUUGGAUCAGCCUUGGUGAAGUCUGUUCGACUUAAAGGGCUACGUGAUCUGAGUUUAGACCGGUGGGAGCCAGGUCGGUUCUUAUCUUGCAGGGAGCCCUUGUAGUACGAAAGGGGGCAUGGGCUAUAAUAAUUAUAUU